rnacentral:rRNA from 1 species
ACGCUCGACACCUACGGGAGGCAGCAGUGGGGAAUAUUGCACAAUGGGGGAAACCCUGAUGCAGCGACGCCGCGUGGAGGAAGAAGGUCUUCGGAUUGUAAACUCCUGUUGUUGGGGAAAAAGAGGAUGGUACCCAACAAGGAAGUGACGGCUAACUACGUGCCAACAGCCGCGGUAAUCUGAGGCGGGCUGGCAAGGC